rnacentral:miRNA from 1 species
UGUCAUGGAGUUGCUCUCUUAUU